rnacentral:rRNA from 1 species
UACGAAGGGGGGCUAGCGUUGCUCGGAUUGACUGGGCGUAAAGGGCGCGUAGGCGGCGGACACAGUCAGACGUGAAAUUCCUGGGCUCAACCUGGGGGCUGCGUUUUGAUACAUGUCUGCUUGAGUUCGGAAGAGGGUCGUGGAAUUCCCAGUGUAGAGGUGAAAUUCGUAGAUAUUGGGAAGAACACCGGUGGCGAAGGCGGCGACCUGGUCCGAUA